UACUGCAGAAAAGGCUUGUCUUCUAGUUUGCCAGCUGACACUCUUCGGCUGAUGGAAUCUGCAGCAUACCCUAUCUGUUAGAUUCGAUGGGUAGAGACUUUCAUGUGAUCUAGAUGUGGAACAUCUAGACUUUCAUGUGACACUCUGGAUGUGGAACAUCAUGUUGUUUUUGCAGAAUUUUCUGGAUGAAGUUUCUAUUAAACCAAGUAGCAGUUUCUUUCAUGAAAACAGGACUUUUCAAUAUUGGAAAUCAGCUGGGAAAAAAGGGUUUCACAGAAUGGACUACAGAUGUGAGAGAAGAAUAUGACUGA